AGCAUGCCUGGAGCUACCCACGAUGGCAUGAAAAUGCCCUUUGCUCUGUGCCAAAGGUAACUUGUCCAGCCAGGAGGGACCCUGUCCAGGUAUCUCCAAACCCCCUGCGUUGGCCCUGCUGUAGGACUGUGCUGCUGCACUGUCCCCUCCCUGCAGCCCUGGGAGAUUGGUGGUUAACUGAGAGUUUCCUGGAGACCAUGGAUUGGUGCCAGGCCCCAAGUGUUAGUUUAGUGUAAUUUUUGGGAAGUCAAUUUCCUUUGUUCUUUUUUUUAAUGGGUUUUUUAGGGUUUUUUGUUUUUAAAUGGAAACACACAGGAGUACUCAGACAAGGACCACGACAAGGGCUGUUCCCUAGCAGGCUGCAGCGUCCCACCGAGCUUCCUAGGCAUCCCUGUACGUGCACGAAAGGAUCUUGGAAAACAACAAAGUGUGACGUCAAAGCCAUUUUGCCGAACAUCCCGUGGGGAACUGCUUCUCCUGCCACUGCCUGAAGGGAGUGGUCAUGUCUCCCAGAGGCACCCACCUUGUCCUGCUCAUUGCAGAGCCCAGGCUGCUGCUGACAGUGGACCAGGUAUGAACUCUGGUAUCCUGGCCUGAUUCCAGUUCAGUUUAAUUGUUGGAGGAGUUUACAAAGCUGUUUGCCAAAAAAACAAUCGACUCCAGGGAACCAGCUUACACAAAAAGGGCGUGUCACCAUAGUGAAGCUGGGGAGCCAUGGAAACCACCACCUUUUUGCAUUUACCCAGGUGAAACCAAAGCUUUAUGGAUGGCUUGUGAAAUCCACAGAGAUCUGCUGGGAAGUGAAACACCAAGGCCGAGGAGCACACAUGCACAUAUACGCACAGGUGUGCGUGGAGUACCCCGAGAGCAUGCACAUGGACACUAGUGCCCAAGUGUGCAGCUCGCCACCACAAAUGCUCAACACCUUGCAGACUGGACAUACCAUUUCAUUCACAAGAGGCACACAAGCAUGCCCAGGUGAGAGCACGCUGCAUCACACAUGCACACACCUCUGUAUUACAGGGCCCCACAUCAGUCAUAAAAGUGCUUAGUGCACAAAACUAAUUUUUUUUUUUAAACGCACACACACAAGCACUGCAGACACAUGCACAGGCAGAAAGAUAUCCAGCCCUAUAUGAACAUGGGCACACAUACACAUACAAAGAUACAUAAUGUGUGAUGACAUCGGGCCAUGUAACUAAACAAACGCCAUUUCACACAUGCACAUGGAUGAAUACACAGACACACACAAACACAAUGAACUGUCAUGACACAUGGGCAAAUGCUAGACAGCGAGUAACUGGCCUGCCAUCUGAACCAGAAAAGGAGUGACCAAAGAGGACAAAAGCAAAUGCAGAGAGGAGCUCCAGGCCUCUGCUGCAGCAACCUGAGGUGCUCUCAAAGAUGCAGUGACCAUUGUCCCCCGCUUCCAGCUGCAGAGACUUGCUGACCAUGGCAAAAGUCACUGGGUUUUUGUGCGCACGGGGUAGAUUCAGGCCCAAGCCGAGAGCUAGGCCACUAGACCGAGGUGGUGCAGGGGCUUCGUGAGGGGUCCCGCAACGCUCCUCCUGGUACUCCCCCAGCAGACGUUCAGCCAGAGGAGCCAGCAACGGACUACUACCCUUGGGACUGUCCCCUGAAGUCAGGGAGGGUCCUGCCCAGCCCAUGGUGAGAUCUCAGCCGCGGGGGCACAGAAGGUGCUGGGUCCUUCUGGGGGCAAGAGGCAAGAUGCCCCCCUUGGAGCAGCUUCGGGGGGAGGAGCUCACAUCACCACACCGUCUCCCUCUGUCACAUGCCACAGCAGGUGGUCUCACCUCCACAAUUCAAUGAACCCUGAACAGGCACUGAGUCCUAAUGCUAGGGCUGUUCUGCUUCAGCCUCCUCAUAUAGUGUCCCACUUGAAUUUAACACCACAAGACCACUGUGCAGCCACCGACACAAAUGCCAAUAGGAGCCGUCUUUGGGAACCAUCAUUUGAUACCUGGCAUGAAAUGGGCCCCAAGUGCAGAGCCCUGCUGGCUUAAAACAAAGCAACCCUCAUCUCUCAACUCACUCGUGUACCUCAUGAGUAACUCACCCUGUUCCCAAACCCAGAUGCUGGCAUCACUAACCCUUAUCCAGGGAUUACACCAGUGUUAGCAAACAACCGGCAGUCAGGCUAGGCUAGGAGUGCAAGGCUCGGUGUGGGGAUUACAAAGGGAGGAGCAAUUCACUCUUGGGGAAGGAGGGGCAGUUUUCAGGACCUGGGAGGCAUUUUCUGUGGGGUAUUUGCAACCUGCUACCUUGGACAAAGCCUUCAUAACCCAGCUCAGCCUCAACCAGCAACAGGAAAGACAGACUUGCCUGUCACCCAUCCUGGACACGGAGGGCAGAAAGAGUUUGGCGGCAACCCACACUCUUUGCGCAGAGGGGGAUGUGUAGGACAGAAUGGGGCUCAAGUGAGGGGUACAGGGGCUCCUUUCCUCAGUCUCCCUCCCUGUCAGGCCACUGAGGUAGCUCCCUGCUGCUAGUCAGCUGGAGCCACAUCCAAACUUGGCAUCAAACAUGGAAAUGGCACUGACUACCACAGCAGAAUUUGGCCCUAAAACCAAAGUGAAGAGCCACUCCCACCCCACACCCAACAACACCUUUGUCAUUCUCUUCAAGAAUUGCAAGGCACAUUGCAGACAUUCAAUAAUCCAGCCCCAUUCACCAUAAGACCAGUCAUCUUUGAAGAUGAGGAGACUACGACACAGCCAGAGACUCUUGGGACCCCAUAGCAGCAGAGCCAGCAGCAGCAGCUGGAUGCUUGGACCCCGCACAGCCUACCCUGAUGUACCCUCACCCUGACCCUAGUGGGAUUGGGAGCCACUUCCCACCGCUCCCCAAGAGCACCCUAUGGAGGCUGGCAGAGCUCCAGGCAGGGCUCAUCCUUCCCUGGGGGGAAAGAGCCAGGACUCAGCGUUAGGCCUGGCAGGGCCUGGGAAGAAGGCAAGUGCCGGUAAGGCUUGGUGCGUCAGCCUUUCUGGCAUCGACCUCCCAAACUCAUUCAAAUAUUUCCCUUUUUUUUUUUUAAUUUAAUGUUCCCUAUAAUUCAUCUGUCCCAAAAGAUAAUCAAUAGAGCCCGUAAUGAAAAUUUGAGCCAUAUUUUAUGAUUCGCUGCAGGAGAAAGGGCCACAUCAGCAGGACUGGCCUUGGCUCCCAGCAGCGUGCUCGCUUGCUCAGUCGCUCUCUGGCCGGGUUUCCCUCCCUCCCCCACGGGGCUGCUGAUGGGGGCAGUCCCUGCCUCCCCACUUCUAUUUCUAGCAACAGAUAUUCUGGCGGCUGUUUCAAGGGUGUGCAUGGGGUGGGAGAGUCCCUGCAUUGAUCUCUCUGGGACACACCAGAGAGAACCUCCUGAGCAUCACCCAUAUACCAUGUGGGUCUAGGGCCUGCCCUGCCGCACAGUAACCAGACUAUGCCAGGUGAUGGCAGGGCUGGGGCCCUCUGCUUUCCGAGCUCCAGGAGUGGCAGGAAUGUUAGGCAUGAAGGAUCAUCUCACUUCACACCCAGGGCCCCAUUUGCUGGGACAUUAAAGUUGUCUCUCUCUGAUA